UACGAAGGGGGCUAGCGUUGCUCGGAAUGACUGGGCGUAAAGGGCGCGUAGGCGGAUGGCACAGUCAGAUGUGAAAUUCCCGGGCUUAACCUGGGGGCUGCAUUUGAUACGUGUUGUCUAGAGUGAGGAAGAGGGUUGUGGAAUUCCCAGUGUAGAGGUGAAAUUCGUAGAGAUCGGAAAGAACACCACGGCGAAAGCACUCUGCUGGGCCGACACUGACACUGAGAGACGAAAGCUAGGGGAGCGAAUGGG
rnacentral:rRNA from 1 species